AUACUUCGGUCUUCCGUCACUCGCCAUCUUGUCUUUGACGUGCGUGGACGCGUGCCAUUAAUCUGAAAGUGAUUUUUCCGUUUCGAGUGUUAAUUUCAUCAUUUCGAAAGUGCUCGACGAUUAGAAAAAAAUGAGUUACGGUAGGCCACCGCCUCGAAUCGACGGGAUGGUGUCCCUGAAGGUGGACAAUCUGACCUACAGAACGACGCCCGAAGACUUGAGACGCGUGUUCGAGAGAUGUGGCGAAGUCGGCGACAUUUACAUACCCAGAGAUCGUUUCACUCGAGAAAGUCGCGGAUUUGCAUUUGUCAGAUUUUACGACAAACGAGAUGCAGAAGAUGCGUUAGACGCGAUGGAUGGAAGAUUGUUAGAUGGUAGGGAACUUAGAGUUCAAAUGGCACGAUACGGACGACCAACUUCUCCACAUCGUAACCGUAGCAGCCGUCGUCGUGGAAGAUCACGCAGCAGAAGCAGAGAUCGCAGACGCUCGCGUUCCAGGUCACGCAGCAGAUCCAGAAGCCGCGAUAGAGAUCGUAGGCGAUCUUACAGCCGUAGUCGCAGCCGCUCACGUUCCGACAGUAAGAGCUCUCGUGGAAAGUCUCGCUCUCGUAGCAAGUCUCCAGACAGGCAGAAAGACAGUCGUUCCAAAUCAAGGGACUGAAGUAAUCGAACCAUGCGCAAGUACGACUGUGAACAGAUGCACGUGCCGCGAGUGCAGAAUAAUCGUUUCUUGAGAACGAAAAGGCGGUGGAAAGGAGUGGCGUGGCGAGUGUAGCCGAUGAUGGGGUAGCUGAGAGUAAGCAGUAAGCCGAGUAGCAGGGCUGUAAGCAGUUUGCAGUAGCGAGCGGUUGGUGGUCUGGUGAAAGCAGGUUCGCGAGUCGAUCAGGGCGAGAAAAAGAGAGAAAGUGUGAGCGAAAGCUGUCACUCUGGGGGGUCGGCGUGCAGAAAAUCGCAGAGGGUACGGUCGAACGCUGAGAAAUAAGCAGAGAACACAAACAAAGCCACGCGGUUGCUGGUCUCAGCUACCGUCCGGUUUGCAGGUAGCACGUGAGCAUCACCAGACCUCGCGAGCAACGACUCACAUUUCAACUGUUACGUCUACCAGUUACUUCGCGUGUUUCUUGACGAUCACUUCCCAGCAAUGGUGAUCAUUAAAGACGAGCACAUACUUUGCUCCCAUCUGUGUAGGUCAUUCGUAAGUUGUACGAGUUUAAAGUCGACUCUUUUAAUUACUUAAUUACUAACUAUCUAGUCUUGGUAAUUACUUAAGAUUACCGUCUCGUGAUAUAAUUUAAUUUUUGUUUUCAUUUCAAGUGCUUAAAUUUAAUCAUUCGGAGAUAUAUUAAUUUGUUGACGUGACUACAGAUAAAAUCAAUUCUAUCUAUGAGAUUUUACUUAACUUUCAAGAUAUUCGAGACUUUAACGGCCCUGUUCUUUAUGGUUGAUACUGAGACUUUCUGAUGUAACUCGUAUCCUUUCGAUAAGAUACUCCGACAUUUCGUCAGUAUUGCAGCUAGCUUUCUCAUGGGUCAAGUAACACACUGUAAUUCAAUAACGACACAAUAUCGGUGUCAUUUGACCCCUGGAGAAGUUAACUCCUACGCUGACGAAACAUCGAUGGAUUUUGUUCAAAGGACACAACUUAUACCCAGAAUCCUCAGUUACUUACCUUUUAUUUCAAUUUUAAUAACUUCAGGACGAAUACUUUUUAAAUAGUGAUCAAUAGUUUCCUAACGCAUAUUGUUCCGUUCGCGUCUAUAAAGAUCUAAAUUCUAUGAUCAUCGCUUGGAACACUUGCCGCCACAUUAUAAAUAAUUGGGAAAAUUGAGGGGUUGGGGGAUCCUUUCGCUUUUCCUGUGUUUCUUUUUUCAGGUAUCACCAAACGUCGGUGGAGUAAGUAUAUUAGAGGUAAGGUGGUGUUGGAAUAUACAGACGAUUAAUUUCUUUUUUUAUACAAAAGGAAUAAAUGAUUGUAGACAGGUGGAGGAUACGAUCAAUAAAGAUUACCGUACUAAACAAA